GGGCCUACCAAGGCGACGAUCUGUAGCUGGUCUGAGAGGAUGGCCAGCCACACUGGAACUGAGACACGGUCCAGACUCCUACGGGAGGCAGCAGUGGGGGAAUAUUGGACAAUGGGGGCAACCCUGAUCCAGCCAUGCCGCGUGUGUGAAGAAGGCCUUCGGGUUGUAAAGCACUUUAAGCGAGGAGGAAGGUUUUUAGUUUAAUACACUAAAGAAUUGACGUUACUCGCAGAAUAAGCACCGGCUAACUCUGUGCCAGCAGCCGCGGUAAUACAGAGGGUGCAAGCGUUUAAUCGGAAUUACUGGGCGUAAAGCGCGCGUAGGCGGUUUGUUAAGUCGGAUGUGAAAUCCCUGGGCUCAACCUAGGCACUGCAUCCGAUACUGGCUAACUAGAGUGUGGGAGAGGAAGGUAGAUUCCAGGUGUAGCGGUGAAAUGCGUAGAGAUCUGGAGGAAUACCGAUGGCGAAGGC
rnacentral:rRNA from 1 species